rfam:Populus trichocarpa scaffold_8_contig_9, whole genome shotgun sequence.
AAAAAGGCUUUUUUAAAAGUCAUUAAAAACAAAUGGAAAGUUCUUG